rnacentral:tRNA from 2 species
GGAGAGCUGACCGAGAGGCCGAAGGUGCUCGCCUGCUAAGCGAGUAUGGCAGUGAUGCCAUCUGGGGUUCGAAUCCCCAGCUCUCCGCCA